AAAAUAAAAGUUUUGCACUUUGACCACAGGGGGGCAGUGUGUACUCACGGUUAUACUUUUAUCAACUCUGUUAAGAAUAACCUCCUCAAGCUAGAAACAAGAACAAGACUAUCGAGGAAGAGGAAUACAUCAUUUCAUACUUUUACCUCAAAUUAAUGGAGGUUGAGGCAUUUUAUCUCCCUCUUGAUCAACAAAGUUUCUGCCGCUAAUUCUAAACAUCUAUGCAAAGCUCACAGGAAAGUUUGUGUCCUCCUGAACAAUUCACCAAAACUAGGAAGCCGUUGUUCAUGCUGAUUAAUUAACUUUACCGAAUUAUAACAAAAGACUUUAAUCUUUUUCUUCUAUCAAACAGUGAAAGUUUGUAAAGGAACAUUAUCACAUCGCCUUACAGCUCCCUCUUGUUAACGCUAGCUGCACUUUAUGAAGCUUUUAGUUAAACUCUGCUGGGCUCGUCAUCAACCGGAACCGGAACACGUAACAUUUUUCAUCACUGGGCGCCAUCUAGUGGACAACCCGAAAGCUACAACAACAUAAGGGGGGGAAACAUGAUGGGAGUAUGACGGCUGCCACACGGCUGAUAUCAAGGUUGACGCUGGUCACUGGAGGAGGCAGUGGGAUCGGACGGGCGGUAUGUCAGCGUUUGGCCUCUGAGGGCGCCUCCGUGGUGGUGGCAGACAUCAGCGAGGAGUCUGCCAACGAGACCAUGGUGGGUCUGCAGAAUGACUCAGAGGACAGGGUCACAUGGCGGCUGUGGUGGAUGUGUCAUCAAAAGAGAGCGUGAAGAAGCUGGUCACCAGAAUACAGCCUCCCUCAGUGUGUGUGAACGCAGCAGGCAUCACGCAGGACCACUUCCUGCUCAACAUGGAGGAGGAUCACUUUGACAGAGUCAUCCAGGUCAACCUGAAGGUAUGAAGCAAGUUCAGCGUGUAAUCGAGUCUAUCAGGUUAACGUCAGAGGAUGACAUCACAAUCUAAUAACUAGGGAUGUGCCCGUUAGUCCACUUAAAGGUUGGAAGUCAUCACCCUCACUAGUCGGCACCAGAAUUACAAGUUACAAAUGAUUCAUAUUUUUAGAUGUUGGCCCUCGAUGCCGGUUCAUUUGUGCUCAAAUUGCAGCACUUCUUAAAGCACUCUUCUUCCAUCACUGCUGUUGAGACAUAACGUGGGUCGACUUUGUGAGAAGAAUCAGAAAGAAAGAAAUCAGUCUCUGUUGUCUUCAACAGGAAACAACCGAAGAUUCAAGUUUCUCGUUGUUGCACUUGAAGAAAAGAAUUCAUAAAAUGAUUCUCUCACAAAACUUCUAAAAAACUGCACGAGUGAACGCAAACAGACACAUUUCUACUCCGACUUUAUCUGGAAUUCUUUAGCCG